GAACCACUAACGAAUAAGGGGUGGGCAAGUUCUGGUGUCAGCCGCCGCGGUAAAACCAGCACCUCAAGUGGUCAGGAUGAUUAUUGGGCCUAAAGCAUCCGUAGCCGGCUCUGUAAGUUUUCGGUUAAAUCUGUACGCUCAACGUACAGGCUGCCGGGAAUACUGCAGAGCUAGGGAGUGGGAGAGGUAGACGGUACUCGGAAGGAAGGGGUAAAAUCCUUUGAUCUUUUGAUGACCACCUGUGGCGAAGGCGGUCUACCAGAACACGUCCGACGGUGAGGGAUGAAAGCUGGGGGAGCAAACCGGAUUAGAUACCCGGGUAGUCCCAGCUGUAAACUAUGCAAACUCAGUGAUGCAUUGACUUGUGGUCAAUGCAGUGCUGCAGGGAAGCCGUUAAGUUUGCCG
rnacentral:rRNA from 1 species